rnacentral:lncRNA from 1 species
CAUGCCUUGCAGAGGGCUCAUCCAUAGCCAAUCAGCCGUUGACUGUUAAUGGCCACCUGGAGUGCUGUGCUGAGGAUCGGAUCUUCUCAUGGCUGGCCCUGUCUCAUUGGUCAAGUUUCUCCCAAAUGGUGCCAUUCACCUCCUCACCACCACCCCCUCUCAACUAGAACAGCAGCCAUAACCCAGGGUCAUUACAUCUGGUUUUGACUCAGGGACAAGAUAGACCAGGCACUGGCCUACAAAUGUGGACACUAACAGCUCCUGAUAGAACCAGGGUGGAAACUGAGGUGGCAAGAAAGGAUGCUGGUGUCCCUAGGCUUCUGGAAGGCAUGUUCUCAGCUGCUGAUGCAAACACCGGGGUGUCAAUGUGUCCAUCAGGAGACACCUGGUACAGUGGGAAGAACAAAGAACCUGGAGACUAA